CCUACGGGAGGCAGCAGUAGGGAAUCUUCCACAAUGGGCGAAAGCCUGAUGGAGCAACGCCGCGUGGGUGAAGAAGGUCUUCGGAUCGUAAAACCCUGUUGUUAGAGAAGAACGUGCGUGAGAGUAACUGUUCACGUUUCGACGGUAUCUAACCAGAAAGCCACGGCUAACUACGUGCCAGCAGCCGCGGUAAUACGUAGGUGGCAAGCGUUAUCCGGAUUUAUUGGGCGUAAAGGGAACGAAGGCGGUCUUUUAAGUCUGAUGGGAAAGCCUUCGGCUUAACCGGAGUAGUGCAUUGGAAACUGGGAGACUUGAGUGCAGAAGAGGAGAGUGGAACUCCAUGGGUAGCGGUGAAAUGCGUAGAUAUAUGGAAGAACACCAGUGGCGAAAGCGGCUCUCUGGUCUGUAACUGACGCUGAGGUUCGAAAGCGUGGGUAGCAAACAGGAUUAGAUACCCGGGUAGUC
rnacentral:rRNA from 1 species